UCGCCCUUGAGUUUGAUCCUGGCUCAGGAUGAACGCUAGCGGCAGGCUUAACACAUGCAAGUCGAGGGGCAGCAUUUCCAGCAAUGGAAGAUGGCGACCGGCGCAAGGGUGCGUCACGCGUGAGCAACAUACCUAUCACAGGAGGAUAAUCCAUGGAAACGUGGUCUAAUACUCCAUAGAAUUGGUUUCUGGCAUCAGGAACCACUUAAAGCUACGGUGGUGAUAGAUUGGCUCGCGUGACAUUAGCUAGAUGGAGAGGUAACGGCUCCCCAUGGCGACGAUGUCUAGGGGUUCUGAGAGGAAGGUCCCCCACACUGGUACUGAGACACGGACCAGACUCCUACGGGAGGCAGCAGUGAGGAAUAUUGGACAAUGGGUGGAAACCUGAUCCAGCCAUGCCGCGUGCAGGAAGACUGCCCUAUGGGUUGUAAACUGCUUUUGUAUGGGAGCAAUAAGCUCUACGAGUAGGGUGAUGAGAGUACCAUACGAAUAAGCAUCGGCUAACUCCGUGCCAGCAGCCGCGGUAAUACGGAGGAUGCGAGCGUUAUCCGGAUUUAUUGGGUUUAAAGGGUGCGUAGGCUGUUAUGUAAGUCAGCGGUGAAAUACCAGAGCUUAACUUUGGGGCUGCCGUUGAUACUGCAUAGCUGGAAUAUGGUUGCUGUUGGCGGAAUGUGUAGUGUAGCGGUGAAAUGCAUAGAUAUUACACAGAACACCGAUUGCGAAGGCAGCUGACAAAGCCAUCAUUGACGCUGAUGCACGAAAGUGUGGGGAUCAAACAGGAUUAGAUACCCCUGUAGUCCUGGCAGUAAACGGUGCACGCUUGGUGUGCGGGGAAUCGACCCCCUGCGUGCCGGAGCUAACGCGUUAAGCGUGCCGCCUGGGGAGUACGGUCGCAAGAUUAAAACUCAAAGAAAUUGACGGGGACCCGCACAAGCGGUGGAGUAUGUGGCUUAAUUCGAUGCAACGCGAAGAACCUUACCUGGGCUUGACAUGUAAUGAACAACAUGUGAAAGCAUGCGACUCUUCGGAGGCGUUACACAGGUGCUGCAUGGCCGUCGUCAGCUCGUGUCGUGAGAUGUUUGGUUAAGUCCAGCAACGAGCGCAACCCCUGUUGCCAGUUACCAGCACGUGAAGGUGGGGACUCUGGCGAGACUGCCCAGAUCAACUGGGAGGAAGGUGGGGACGACGUCAGGUCAGUAUGGCCCUUAUGCCCAGGGCUGCACACGUACUACAAUGCCCAGUACAGAGGGGGCCGAAGCCGCGAGGCGGAGGAAAUCCUAAAAACUGGGCCCAGUUCGGACUGUAGGCUGCAACCCGCCUACACGAAGCCGGAAUCGCUAGUAAUGGCGCAUCAGCUACGGCGCCGUGAAUACGUUCCCGGGUCUUGUACACACCGCCCGUCACAUCAUGGAAGCCGGUCGCACCCGAAGUAUCUGAAGCCAACCGCAAGGAGGCAGGGUCCUAAGGUGAGACUGGUAACUGGGAUGAAGUCGUAACAAGGUAGCCGUAGGGGAACCUGCGGCUGGAUCACCUCCUU
rnacentral:rRNA from 13 species